GUUUGUCAGGCUAUUUUUCUCACAACAGCAGAGACUAAACUUAAACACUGGCCUGCAUCGCCAUGUCUCAAAUGAAAGGUGGAAGAUACUGAAAGGCCAGCCCUAUCUUUGUCCUCUCUGACUGCCACGUUUGUACAGCCCCCGUAUGCCUAUAGGUGCACGCAUACACAGAUUUCUUUAAAGCUGUCAUGGUAAGGAGUGCCACGGUGAAGUCACCAUGUUCCUUUUUUUUAUUAACUAGUAAGUGCUGCCAAGGAGCAUGUUCAGACCCUGCAUGAAUAUCACGUUUGUCACUAAGCAUCCAGUUACCUUGGUCGACCAUCCUUCCUACAUUCAAUCGUCAGAAUUCUAUGCUAAGGAGCUGCUUCCUUUCUCCUCGGGUGUUCAUUCAGUUACUUACAAGGGGCUCGACACAUAGUUCCGUGGUUAGUCAUGCUUACUUACUGCUCUCGCGGAGGAUUGGAGUUCAGAUCGAGGAACUCACAUUGAGUAACUCACAACCUCUGGCUUCCGGAUUCUGGCGCCCUCUUCUGGCCUCCAUAGGUUGCUGUGACCAAGAACCUAACAGGAAGCAAUUUCAAGAAGAAAGGGUGCCUUGGUUCACCAUUUGACCAUUUAAUUCAUCUUGGCGGAGCACCAUGAGAACCCUGUGUGUUAACUGGUCACAUUGUACCCAUAGAUAAGAAGCAAAGAGCAAAGCAACACCUAGAGCCCAGCUAUGAAACCGUAAGUCUCACCUCUAGUGACCCCCUUUCUCCAGUGAGGCACCACCAAGAUCCUAUGACUCGCUCGAAACAGCACUACCUGGCUGGAAACAUGGCUCAGUUUGUAAAGCGCUCGCUCCGCUAUAAUGAAGACCUGAGUUUGGACCCACAGCACCCAUGUAGAAGCUGGAGGCAAUAGCAGGACCCUGUAAAUCCAGUUAUGGGGGACAGGAAUGGAGCUAUCAAGAGGUUCACAAGCCUGUCAAAUGGCCUGCUAGUUGUAAAGAGAGUUUGAGGGACACAGCUUUCAGGAGUCAUCACCCAUGCUGCAUGAAGUAGCUGUCUCUCAGCCACCCCUGCUCCUGUAAGUUGCCCCUCGCAUACGCUUCUGUUGUAACUCCAAUAAAGUC